AUUGAACGCUGGCGGCAGGCCUAACACAUGCAAGUCGAGCGAGGCGCACGCGUGAGUGAUAUGUGUGGGGAUUUGCCUGAUAGUGGGGGAUAACUUCUGGAAACGGUGGCUAUACCCGCUAACUGUCGGGUGAACCCAUCGGGGAUUAGCUAGUAGGUGGGGUAGAGGGUCCCCUAGACGACGAUCUCUGGCUGGUCUGAGAGGAUGAUCAGGCACACUGGGAAUGAGACACGGCCCAGACUCCUACGGGAGGCAGCAGUGGGGGAUAUUGCACAAUGGGCGCAAGCCUGAUGAGGCCAUGCCGCGUGUAUGAAGAAGGCCUUAGGGUUGUAAAGUACUUUCAGCGGGGAGGCGUUACCUGCAGAAGAAGCACCGGCUAACUCCGUGCCAGCAGCCGCGGUAAUAC
rnacentral:rRNA from 1 species